rnacentral:rRNA from 1 species
UACGUAGGGGGCUAGCGUUAUCCGGAUUUACUGGGCGUAAAGCGUGCGCAGGCGGCGCUGUAAGACAGAUGUGAAAUCCCCGGGCUUAACCUGGGAACUGCAUUUGUGACUGCAGUGCUAGAGUGUGUCAGAGGGGGGUGGAAUUCCACGUGUAGCAGUGAAAUGCGUAGAGAUGUGGAGGAACACCGAUGGCGAAGGCAGCCCCCUGGGAUAACACUGACGCUCAGGCACGAAAGCGUGGGGAGCAAACAGGAUUA